GAGUAAAGACCUCGGUCGCUUUGGGAGGAGCUCGCUUACUAUCAGCUUGUUGGUAGGGUAACGGCCUACCAAGGCUAUGACGGUUAGGGGGUGUGAGAGCAUGACCCCCAGCAUUGGCACUGAAACACUGGCCAAACACCUACGGGUGGCUGCAGUCGAGAAUCUUCCACAAUGGGGGAAACCCUGAUGGAGCGAUGCUGCGUGCGGGAUGAAGGCCUUCGGGUUGUAAACCGCUUCUGUAGGGGACGAAAUUUUUGACGGUACCCUUUCGAAUAAGAGGUUGCUAACUCUGUGCCAGCAGCAGCGGUAAUACAGAGACCUCAAGCGUUAUCCGGAUUUACUGGGCGUAAAGCGUCUGUAGGGGGUUUAUUAAGUUCCAAGUAAAAUUUCAAGGCUCAACUUUGAAUUCGCUUGGAAAACUAAUAAACUGGAGUCUAGCAGAGGUGCAUGGAACUUGUGGUGUAGGAGUGAAAUCCGUUGAUAUCACAAGGAACACCAAAGGCGAAGGCAUUGCACUGGGCUAGCACUGACCCUGAGAGACGAAAGCGUGGGGAGCAAAACGGAUUAGAUACCCGUGUAGUCCACGCCCUAAACGAUGAAUGCUAAAUGUUCGGGGAUUCGACCCCCUGGGUGUUACAGCUAACGCGUUAAGCAUUCCGCCUGGGAAGUACGGCCGCAAGGCUAAAACUCAAAGGAAUAGACGGGGAUCCGCACAAGCGGUGGAGCGUCUGGUUUAAUUCGACAGUAAGCGUGGUACCUCACCAGGGUUUGACAUCCCUUGACAGCCUUGGAAACAAGGUUUCCUUCGGGCAAGGUGACAGGUGCUGCAUGGUCGUCGUCAGUUCGUGCCGUGAGGUGUUCCGUUAAGUCGGGAAACGAACGAAACCCCUAUUGCAUGUUACAAUUUCUCAUGCAAGACUGCCCGGAUAUACUGGGAGGAAGGUGGGGAUGACGUCAGAUCUGCAUGGUCCUUAUACCCUGGGCGACACAGGCGCUACAAUGGCAGAGACAAAGGGUUGCAAAACCGCAAGGUGAAGCUAAUCCCAAAAACUUUGUCUAAGUUCGGAUUGAAGGCUGCAAUUCGCCUUCAUGAAGCUGGAAUCGCUAGUAAUCGUGAAU
rnacentral:rRNA from 1 species